GACGAACCGUGCGAACGUUGUUCGGAAUCACUGGGCUUAAAGGGCGCGUAGGCGGGCGGCAAAGUCAGGGGUGAAAUCCUCCAGCUUAACUGGAGAAGUGCCUUUGAUACUGGUCGUCUUGAGGAAGGUAGGGGCAUGCGGAACUGAUGGUGGAGCGGUGAAAUGUGUUGAUAUCAUCAGGAACUCCGGUGGCGAAAGCGGAGUGCUGGACCUUUUCUGACGCUGAUGCGCGAAAGCCAGGGGAGCAAACGGG
rnacentral:rRNA from 1 species